GGCCCAGUAGCGGAUGGUCCGCACCUGCUUCGAAUGGGUGGUCUUCCAAUAAGUUUCGAAACACAGGAGCCGCUCGUUCGAAUCGGGCCUGGGCCG